UUCAGAGACAAUCCCAGAAGCCUCUGGUUCUAGAGCCAAACUCCAGAAGGGUUCUUUUUCUCCAACCAAUAACAAAAUUUAACUGGAUUUCAGUACUUCUGACAAACAUGCUCUACCAGAGCUCAGGGAUCUCAGACCUGCAGCUGCUGUGGACUGAAAGGUCUCCUUCCAGUUCCCUGCCCCCUACAUGUGCUCCAGUCGAGGCAGACAAACUAUUUGGAGAAUCCAAACAAAUUUCCUAAUUAAAUACAAAGAAAAACUGAGAUAAACCACACUUGCACUAAUUGUUCAAAAUAAAGCCAUAUGAUAACUUCCAGUUGAGCCUGUCGGUU
ensembl:lncRNA